GACGAACGCUGGCGGCGUGCUUAACACAUGCAAGUCGAACGGAAAGGCCCUGCUUUUGUGGGGUGCUCGAGUGGCGAACGGGUGAGUAACACGUGAGUAACCUGCCCUUGACUUUGGGAUAACUUCAGGAAACUGGGGCUAAUACCGGAUAGGAGCUCCUGCUGCAUGGUGGGGGUUGGAAAGUUUCGGCGGUUGGGGAUGGACUCGCGGCUUAUCAGCUUGUUGGUGGGGUAGUGGCUUACCAAGGCUUUGACGGGUAGCCGGCCUGAGAGGGUGACCGGCGACAAUGGGACUGAGGUACGGCCCAGACUCCUACGGGAGGCAGCGGUGGGGAAUAUUACACAAUGGGCGGAAGCCUGAUGCAGCGACGCCGCGUGCGGGAUGACGGCCUUCGGGUGGUAAACCGCUUUCGCCUGUGACGAGGCGUGAGUGACGGUAAUGGGUAAAGAAGCACCGGCUAACUACGUG
rnacentral:rRNA from 1 species